UACGGAGGGGGCUAGCGUUGUUCGGAAUUACUGGGCGUAAAGCGCACGUAGGCGGCUAUUCAAGUCAGAGGUGAAAGCCCGGGGCUCAACCCCGGAACUGCCUUUGAAACUAGAUAGCUAGAAUCACGGAGAGGUAAGUGGAAUUCCGAGUGUAGAGGUGAAAUUCGUAGAUAUUCGGAAGAACACCAGUGGCGAAGGCGGCUCACUGGUCCAUUACUGACGCUGAGGUGCGAAAGCGUGGGGAGCAAACAGG
rnacentral:rRNA from 1 species